rnacentral:rRNA from 1 species
ACAUGCAAGUCGAACGAUGAUGCCCACUUGUGGGUGGAUUAGUGGCGAACGGGUGAGUAACACGUGAGUAACCUGCCCUUGACUCUGGGAUAAGCCUGGGAAACUGGGUCUAAUACCGGAUAUGACCUUCCAUCGCAUGGUGGUUGGUGGAAAGCUUUUGUGGUUUUGGAUGGACUCGCGGCCUAUCAGCUUGUUGGUGGGGUAAUGGCCUACCAAGGCGACGACGGGUAGCCGGCCUGAGAGGGUGACCGGCCACACUGGGACUGAGACACGGCCCAGACUCCUACGGGAGGCAGCAGUGGGGAAUAUUGCACAAUGGGCGCAAGCCUGAUGCAGCGACGCCGCGUGAGGGAUGACGGCCUUCGGGUUGUAAACCUCUUUCAGUAGGGAAGAAGCGUAAGUGACGGUACCUGCAGAAAAAGCGCCGGCUAACUACGUGCCACCAGCCGCGGUAAUACGUAUGGCGCAAGCGUUAUCCGGAAUUAUUGGGCGUACACAGCGCCUACGCGGUUUGUC